CUUUUACCUGAAACAUUUUUCGUAUACUUGGCAAUGUUUUUAGUUAUUCUACGGUCUAAGUUAAAAUGUGUGUGUGUGUGUAUACACAAGCAUACAUACAUACAGUUGACAUGGACCAAACUGUAGUCUUUUAGCCUGGAAAUGUCUUGUAAAGAGAAUCCUGCCGUUUCUGCCUACUAGCGAAAUCGUCAAAAUAUGAAACUUCAAACAUCGAUAUCUCAACGAAAAUAAAAGAUUUUUCAAAUUUGAAAGAAAAGUUUUGAAGGGUUAAGAUAUCUCGGGAACCUGACGUGAUGGACAAAAUCUACCGCUGGAUUUGGAUUCAGCGACUUAAAAACCUUCGGGACUACCUAGUCACGGUUCUAGAUCAAUUCACUAUUCGUACACUCGCUUCGCUCGGGCGUAAACGCCACACAAGACAAGAAUCUAUUUUCCCGCACUCGUAUCGUAAUAUACUAUUUUGAGCAAAUUCAAGUUGAUGGACGGAAUAUUUUUUUAUGAUCCAGGGCUCUAACGAAGAUGUAACUCGAAACCUUGUCUAAACCAUCACAGAAAGAGUGAUAUAACGGACUCAGAGGAGAAACUGUUCCUAUAUGAUAUCAAGGGCUUUUAACAUAUUUGCUGUUAAAUUCAGGAUGCUGUGGAGUUAGUUACAGGUUGAUUUGAAUUUUUGCGUUAAAGUAUUAAGUAACGAAUAGAGAAUCGUUAUGUACUUACACUACUGAUCAGUUAUCUAUCUUAACUGAGUUGAUUACUCAAGCGUAUAGCAACACCUUAUUCAGGUUACCCUGAUAGAUAUUUACAAAAAAAAAAAGCGAUACUUCUCAUAGAAAUCAUGAACAAAUUUUUUUUCACAAUUAUAUUCAAUUUGUAAGAAUUCAAAAGAUGGGCUUUCAAUGCUUGAUGGGUGAUCCAAAAAAUGUAAUUAGCAUUUUUUUACAAUAACACUUAUGCAAUAAGAAUAAAUUUUUGUUCACAUAUUGUAUCCUAAUCGGCACUGCUUUAGGUUCAGUAAAUUUAUGAAAAAUAUGAUUGAAUAAGUUUGAAAACGAAGUUCCCAUGACAAAAAAAAUAUGUUUCGCUUUUACGUUUUUUGAUUUUGCAUCCAAGUCGUUCUUUUAAAUGAAUUUUUUGUAUUCUUUUUUCACCAAUAUUUUUGACAAAACAUUUUUCGAUAGCGUUAAUAUGGAUUCUAUUUACAAAUUUAUUAUUCAAAUUAAA